rnacentral:rRNA from 1 species
UACAGAGGGUGCAAGCGUUAAUCGGAUUUACUGGGCGUAAAGCGUGUGUAGGUGGCUACCUAAGUCGAUUGUGAAAUCCCUGGGCUCAACCUGGGAAUUGCAGUCGAUACUGGGCAGCUCGAGUUCGGUAGAGGGUGACGGAGUUCCCGGUGUAGCGGUGAAAUGCGUAGAUAUCGGGAGGAACAUCGAUGGCGAAGGCAGGUCUCUGGGCCGAUACUGACGCUGAGGAGCGAAAGCGUGGGGAGCGAACAGG